rnacentral:ncRNA from 1 species
AUCAGUAAAAGGCAAACCUGUUGAAAAAUAGGGACGCAAAGUCACAGAUCUAACGUUACCACUAUGAUGGCUGGGCUGCCUGA